AAGCUCGUAGUUGAACCUUGGGCCUGGCUGGCCGGUCCGCCUCACCGCGUGCACUGGUCCGGCCGGGCCUUUCCCUCUGUGGAACCCCAUGCCCUUCACUGGGUGUGGCGGGGAAACAGGACUUUUACUUUGAAAAAAUUAGAGUGCUCCAGGCAGGCCUAUGCUCGAAUACAUUAGCAUGGAAUAAUGAAAUAGGACGUGCGGUUCUAUUUUGUUGGUUUCUAGGACCGCCGUAAUGAUUAAUAGGGACAGUCGGGGGCAUCAGUAUUCAAUUGUCAGAGGUGAAAUUCUUGGAUUUAUUGAAGACUAACUACUGCGAAAGCAUUUGCCAAGGAUGUUUUCAUUAAUCAGGAACGAAAGUUAGGGGAUCGAAGACGAUCAGAUACCGUCGUAGUCUUAACCAUAAACUAUGCCGACUAGGGAUCGGACGAUGUUAUUUUUUGACUCGUUCGGCACCUUACGAGAAAUCAAAGUGCUUGGGCUCCAGGGGGAGUAUGGUCGCAAGGCUGAAACUUAAAGAAAUUGACGGAAGGGCACCACCAGGGGUGGAGCCUGCGGCUUAAUUUGACUCAACACGGGGAAACUCACCAGGUCCAGACACAAUGAGGAUUGACAGAUUGAGAGCUCUUUCUUGAUUUUGUGGGUGGUGGUGCAUGGCCGUUCUUAGUUGGUGGAGUGAUUUGUCUGCUUAAUUGCGAUAACGAACGAGACCUUAACCUGCUAAAUAGCCCGUAUUGCUUUGGCAGUACGCCGGCUUC
rnacentral:rRNA from 1 species